AGAGUUUGAUCCUGGCUCAGAUUGAACGCUGGCGGCAGGCCUAACACAUGCAAGUCGAACGAACUCUUCGGAGUUAGUGGCGGACGGGUGAGUAACACGUGGGAACGUGCCUUUAGGUUCGGAAUAGCUCCUGGAAACGGGUGGUAAUGCCGAAUGUGCCCUUCGGGGGAAAGAUUUAUCGCCUUUAGAGCGGCCCGCGUCUGAUUAGCUAGUUGGUGGGGUAAUGGCCCACCAAGGCUACGAUCAGUAGCUGGUCUGAGAGGAUGACCAGCCACAUUGGGACUGAGACACGGCCCAAACUCCUACGGGAGGCAGCAGUGGGGAAUCUUGCGCAAUGGGCGAAAGCCUGACGCAGCCAUGCCGCGUGUAUGAUGAAGGUCUUAGGGUUGUAAAAUACUUUCACCGGUGAAGAUAAUGACUGUAGCCGAAGAAGAAGCCCCGGCUAACUUCGUGCCAGCAGCCGCGGUAAUACGAAGGGGGCUAGCGUUGCUCGGAAUUACUGGGCGUAAAGGGAGCGUAGGCGGACAUUUAAGUCAGAGGUGAAAUCCCGGAGCUUAACUUCGGAACUGCCUUUGAUACUGGGUGUCUUGAGUGUGAGAGAGGUAUGUGGAACUCCGAGUGUAGAGGUGAAAUUCGUAGAUAUUCGGAAGAACACCAAUGGCGAAGGCGACAUACCGGCUCAUUACUGACGCUGAGGCUCGAAAGCGUGGGGAGCAAACAGGAUUAGAUACCCUGGUAGUCCAA
rnacentral:rRNA from 1 species